GAUGAACGCUGGCGGCGUGCCUAAUACAUGCAAGUAGAGCGAACAGACGAGGAGCUUGCUCCUCUGACGUUAGCGGCGGACGGGUGAGUAACACGUGGAUAACCUACCUAUAAGACUGGGAUAACUUCGGGAAACCGGAGCUAAUACCGGAUAAUAUAUUGAACCGCAUGGUUCAAUAGUGAAAGACGGUUUUGCUGUCACUUAUAGAUGGAUCCGCGCCGCAUUAGCUAGUUGGUAAGGUAACGGCUUACCAAGGCAACGAUGCGUAGCCGACCUGAGAGGGUGAUCGGCCACACUGGAACUGAGACACGGUCCAGACUCCACGGGAGGCAGCAGUAGGGAAUCUUCCGCAAUGGGCGAAAGCUUGACGGAGCAACGCCGCGUGAGUGAUGAAGGUCUUCGGAUCGUAAAACUCUGUUAUUAGGGAAGAACAAAUGUGUAAGUAACUAUGCACGUCUUGACGGUACCUAAUCAGAAAGCCACGGCUAACUACGUG
rnacentral:rRNA from 1 species